rnacentral:lncRNA from 1 species
CUUAGUCAACUAUAAAGCAUUGUAUUAUAUAAAUAUGAAGUAAUGUUAAAACUAAAUUAUACUUGAGGAUUUUGUGGUAGCAUGUGAAAUAACUGGAAAAAGUAUAAUGUAACAAAAUCUGGGCUGAGAAUAUUUGUAAUACAUACUCAUACUAAUAGAACUGCAAGAAUUUGCUUUUUGCCUGUGUCAGACUUUGUUAAUGACACCACAGAAUCGAUUGUGUUUUGAGUUUUGUGGCCAAGUCACAGCUGAGGUCCAAGCAAUCAACCAGUUUAUCUUCUAGGAGUCUCAAAGUUACUGAACUGGCUAUUUUGGUACUUUAAUAUAAUGUUAGCUUGCUGGUACUAUGUGGAAGAGCCACUCUCUUAAUAUAAAAUAUUCACGUUCUGAUGAUAAAUUUUCUAUCAAACUUUGAGAGCAUUUCUAUAUUUGAUACUUGGAGUUGAAUUAUAGUCAUACUUCAUUUUUGUAUUAUCGUCAUACUUUAUGCUGUGGAAAACUGAGGAAUUAAAAAUGAGUAGCCAAGAUCAUUUCCCUUAAUGGUGAUGUGAAGAGGAUAGGUGAUUCUCUUUCUGAAUAAAACAAGCGUAAAACUGGAUGAGAUUGUCCAAAAUGGUCGUUUCUGGGCACUGGAAACAAAAGGCAGAUAAUAGAUUGAGAAGCGUUAUUGAUACACUGAAUCUUUGGAUGAAUGGAUAAGCAAAUUGUGGUAUAUCUAUAGAAUGGAAUAAUACUCAGUAAUGAAAAGGAAUGGACUAUUGAUACAUACAGUGACAUGUAUGCAUUGCAAAAUAAUAACAUGCUGUGUGAAAGAAGCCAGACACCUUUUCCUACAAAACAGAAUACUGAUUCCAUUUAGGUGAAAUUCUAGAAAAUGCAAGCUAAUCUGUAGUGACAGUAGAUCAGUGCCUGCAGAUCAGAGGAUGGCUUGGGAGAGGAGGGAGAAAGGGAUUCCAAAGGAAAGAGCACAAUGAAACGUUUGGGGGUGAUGUAUAUAUUCAUUAUUUGAUUAUGUCUAAUGAUUUCAUGGGUGUAUACAUAUGUCAAAACUCAUUGUAUAUUUAAAUAUGUGCAAUUUAUUGUAUAUCAAGAGUAACUCAGUAAAGUUAUAAAAACUAAAACUAUGCCCAUUCAAAAAGCAAACAGAUGUUCAUAGUACCAUUAUUCACAGUAGACAAAAACUGGAAACAAUCCAAAUCCAUCAACCGGUGAAUAGAUAAACAAAAUUUGGUAUGUCCAUAUCAGCCAUGAAAAGGAAUAAAAUUCUGAUUCAUGCCACGGGUACAUACUACAAUAUGGUUGAACCUCAGAAACAUUAUGCCAAGUGAAAGGGCUCUGUAUUGUAUGAUACCAUGAUAUGAAACUUUUAGAACAGGCAAAACCUUAGAUCAGAUCAGUACUUUGCCUGGGUGUAGGGUGGCAGCAUGGAGAUUGGUUUUAAACAGGC